ACUCCUACGGGAGGCAGCAGUGAGGAAUAUUGGGCAAUGGGCGCAAGCCUGAACCAGCCAUCCCGCGUGAAGGAAGAAGGCGCUAUGCGUUGUAAACUUCUUUUCCAGGGGGUGAAUUUUCCGGUCGUGACCGGGAUUGACGGUACUCUGGGAAUAAGCAUCGGCUAACUCUGUGCCAGCAGCCGCGGUAAU
rnacentral:rRNA from 1 species